rnacentral:tRNA from 1 species
GAGGGUGUAGCUCAGUGGUAGAACACAUAUUUAACAUGCAUGAGGUCCUGGGUUCAAUCCCUACUCCCUCC